ACUCAACCUUCCAUUUUGAAAUGAGGUACACCGUACACGGGGCCUCUCUCGCGCGUAAAAAAAAUCCCCUUAUCUCUCUCAUCCGAUGCCCGACCACUCCCUCCCCCGAGGCCUCGACGAUGCUCUCUCCCGGCGGCGAUGGCGCUCUCACUCCUGACGGCGCUCUCCCUUGCCAUCGGCGCUCCUCUAGUGAAGGUUCGCGAGCUCGGCCUCUGCUCGGCGCGGCCAGAUGCGCAGGCACGGCAGGCCCUAGUUCCAUCCCACGGGACUACGACGGUCGCAUGGCCGAGGGGUCGGCCAUGGCGGCAUCUGGCCUGUCCCACCGCGCUAGCGGCACCUGCGAGCACUCCGGCGACCGGCUUAGCUGCAGGCAUGUCGCAGGUGUCCAGACAUGUCGCAAGCGUCCACGGCCUCACGCAUGGAUCUAGACGGCAAACCCACCAGUGGCGCUCCUCCCUCGGCGGCGGCGCUCUCCCCCGGCGGUGCGCUCGUCCCCCGAUGGUGCUCCUCCCCUGGUGACCGGGCUCUCCUAUACGACACAUACAAAGAUCCAUUUCGGUGGCGGUCCACUGCAUGAUGCAGUCCGCGGCGCUGCUGGUGCAAAGCAGUGGUAGCAGUUGGUGACGUGCAGUCCAUGGUCAUGGUGCGCACGGGGCCGCCCUCCAUGUGCUCCCAUUGUCCAAACAUCAGUCCUGUCCUUCCAAUGCAGCGGCCGCCCAACCGUUAUCCAUCAUUGGUGCUAGGUCCGGUGGGCUGCCAGCGGUGUACAGGAUAGCCAAUUCUGAUGGGAUUUCUCUAUGAUUCAUGGGCUAACACCAUGGAGGAGGUGCGAUGUGGCCAGAGAAGACGGAGAAGAAGCCGACGAGUUGGCGGUCCGAGGCCCACGACGUGCUGUUGCGGGCUCAAGCGGUGCUCCUUCCAAGGCGAUGGGUAUGAUCGAUGUUUGUCUGCUCCAUGUUAAUUUCUAUGCUUCAUGUGUGAUGGAUGUUAUUAGUUUCUCUGUAUGACUUCUUUGCGCAGAUUGUUACGAGGUAAAUAGAAGAGAGAGGAAUGCUAAUUGGUUACUCCUGGCAACUUGAUGGUUUGCAUUUUUGCACAUGCAAACCCACUGAUAGACUGAACAUGUUACCAGACAUAUAACCAUAUAACCACAGGCUGUUUGAAACAGCUGGUUAUUUUUUUGUAAAUAUGUCAAAUUAUAUGCAAGCAUGUGCCCUUGCAUAGAACACUUUUGGAUUUUUUUAACUCAUAGUUUCGUUGCCUGUGACUUUCUUCUUAUGCUUAUUAAGUUUAAAGAGAUUAAAGUACGAGCAGACCAAUUUUUUCUUUUCUUUUCUUCCAUAGGAUUAUUUGGAUGAGUAUUUAUAUCGAGAGGAAGAAGAGGGACACAGGAAACUGAAGUCCACGUGAUGGAGUUGGACUUCUUUUUUCAUGCAUUUUUGCUCUUGUUUUUAUGCAUUCUAUUUUGGGUAACUAUGAUUUACAGCUAAACAAGAGUCACUGCAACAACAUUGGCUGAACUAGCUGUCCUGUACCAUGUGUUGGAUUUUGAUUUAUAUACUUACAGUUCCAGGUUCAUGGUACAUGCAUAAUUCAUCUCCAUUGCUUGUGUACAAUGUAUUUUUUAAUGCAUCGGGCUGGACUGGCUGUAUAGGGUUCCAGCGGGAAAGAGGAAUAGGUAGAUUUUUUAUGAACAUGAAUUAUAUUUUUUGCUGUAUAAAAUAUUUUUUACUAGAACAAUUUGGUACUACGUCCUCCAAAAUGAAAUCUUUUUAUUUUUUGAGUGCAUAGAAAUUAAAAUCUUAGUAUUUAGAUAGGUAGCUACUCAGUUUUUUAUGCUGGUAGGCCGUAGGCGGCUGCUAGUUCAGUAAUCUAGUGGCAAGGUUUCUAUGCGGGCAAUUUUAGGCAGAAAGAUGCAGGUUUCCGUGCAGUUUAGAAGCUUUCAGGUGUCACCAGGUGCAAGCUUCUGUUCCUUUUUUUGUUUUUUUUAUAAAUUCGUACGUACCCAAUUAUAGGCUCAAGUGCUUGCUGCUCCUAGGCAUGGAGCAGUCCGUAAGAACUCAUGCUUGCGCGCUGCUCGCAUACUUUCUUACUGUUAUCAUUGCUUUUUAUGCCAUUGCCUGUUUAUGAUGUUUGUGCUGACGACUUGCUUAGGGUUUCUUUGAACGUUUUAGCAAUUAUGGUGGAUAUCAAAGCCAUCUUAAUUUUAUUUCUGCAUUUUUUGCCCUAAGGAGAUGAUGAAGAUCCAACAACUGGUGAGUACUUGCUUAUACUCGGAUCACUAGUGGCUUCCAUGACAUGAUCGAGGAGGUAUUUUUUGGAGGACAUUUCUAUAUUUUGUUGGAGCAGUUAUCUAUGUAUUUCUACACAAUUAUACAUUGUUGGAGCACACUUGUAUGCAUUGUUAGAACACUUUGACAUAAAUUAUUGGAACAGUUUUUUGUAAACUUCUACACAAUUCUAUAUAUUACUGGUACACAAUUCUAUACAACUUUCUAUGCAUUGUUUGGAUUAGGGCCACCACAAUUCCAGUACAAUAAUCCCACAUUUCUAUAUUUUGUUGGAGCAGUUGUCUACGCAUUUCUACACAAUUAUACAUUGUUGGAGCACACACGUAUGCAUUGUUAGAACACUUUGACAUAAAUUGUUGGAACAAUUAUUUGUAAACUUCUACACAAUUCUAUAUAUUAUUGGUACACAAUUCUAUACAACUUUCUAUGCAUUGUUUGGGUUAGGGCCACCACGAUUCCGGUACAAUAAUUCCACAUUUUUGUAUUUUGUUGGAGCAGUUAUCUAUGCAUUUCUACACAAUUAUACAUUGUUGGAGCACACAUGUAUGCAUUGUUAGAACACUUUGACAUAAAUUGUUGGAAUAGUUUUUGUAAACUUCUACACAAUUCUAUAUAUUAUUGGUGCAUAAUUCUAUACAACUUUUUAUGCAUUGUUUGGUUAGGGCCACCAUGAUUUCGGUACAAUAAUCCCCCAGAAGGAAGGGUAUUUUGUGUUCUAUGCACUAUCCCUCUAUCAAUUGUACGUCUCUGAGAAUAAUGUUUUAGGAUGGGGUUGCCACGGCUUUGGAUAAAAUAAUCUCCCACUAAGGAGGGUUGUAUCAGGUUCUAUGCAUUGUUUCUCUAUUAAUUACCAAGCUAGAUGCAAGGUUUGGUUACGACCAUAAUAGGUUUCUAUGCUCGCAGAAACAUGUUUAUGUGCCUUUUUUUGUCGCUGUAAGGUUUUCCCGCGCACUACAUGUUUCUAUGCCUUUCUUUUGCUGCUGUCAAGUUUCUGCACCUGCUAAAACAUGUUUCUUUUCCUUUAUUGUGAUAUAGCAUGGUUGGAAAGAUUCCUCUCCAUUUGGUGUGAGAGGUCAAUGGUGGCUCAGACAUAGGACAUGGCUUGUGGCGUCCACGGCUUCCUUGGCUUGCGGUGGUGGCGCAGUGUCAUCUUAAUGUAGUUGAUUGGUUAAUGUAAAAAGCUAGUUUUCCAUACAUUGUGUUUAUAUGCUUGGAUGAGAUGAGCAAAACUAUUUGUUUCUAUGUAACCUCAGUUGGAUUCCAAUAUAUUGUUGACUUAGUUUCUA